UUUAUAUAAAAUAUUUUGAUGAAUAUUUAUCUAAUAUUAACAUAAUUCAUAUUACUAUAUAUUUUAGUAUAUGAAAUUUUACUUUGAGAAAAUUAGAGUGCUUAAAGCAGGCAUAUGCCUUGAAUACUCCAGCAUGGAAUAAUAUUAAAGAUUUUUAUCUUUCUUAUUGGUUCUAAGAUAAGAAUAAUGAUUAAUAGGGACAGUUGGGGGCAUUUGUAUUUAACAGUCAGAGGUGAAAUUCUUAGAUUUGUUAAAGACAAACUAAUGCGAAAGCAUUUGCCAAGGAUGUUUUCAUUAAUCAAGAACGAAAGUUAGGGGAGCGUAUACGAUUUUAUGCCGUCGGGAUUCUUAUCCCCAAAAUCCCCUCAAAAUAUUUGAUAUAAGUUAUUAACAGGAAAACCAACUACGAGC
rnacentral:rRNA from 1 species